rnacentral:rRNA from 1 species
CAGUCGCCGCGGUAAUACGAGGGGAGCUAGCGUUGUUCGGAAUUACUGGGCGUAAAGCGCGCGUAGGCGGCUUUUUAAGUCAGAGGUGAAAGCCCGGGGCUCAACCCCGGAAUUGCCUUUGAAACUGGAAAGCUAGAAUCUUGGAGAGGUCAGUGGAAUUCCGAGUGUAGAGGUGAAAUUCGUAGAUAUUCGGAAGAACACCAGUGGCGAAGGCGACUGACUGGACAAGUAUUGACGCUGAGGUGCGAAAGCAUGGGGAGCAAACAGGAUUAGAUACCCCCGUAGUCCCUGUCUCUUAUAC